rnacentral:misc_RNA from 1 species
UUCUUCUUCUUCUUCUUCUUCAGCAGCAGCAAAAUCAUAGUAUCUGCUUGUGAUCCCAUAUUCACCAUGGAAGCCCCUCAUCUUAGAUAAUCUAAUUAGCUCCAUGACCUUUUUCUUCUGCUUAAAAAUUGCUGCCAAGGUCUUAUUUUUAUUGCUAAAGCAGGUCCUUGUGAAAGCCCACCAUUCAUCAAGGUUCACGCUAGGGAUUUCAGCUUUGGGGCGGAUUAUUACCACAGAAGAAUCAACCUUUGGACAUGGAAGAAAAUCCCGCUUGCUUACAUCCAUCACAAACUCAACUUUCGCAGCCAACUUCACAUUUACAGCCAAUCUGUUGUACUCCGAGUCACCAGGAUUAGCUAAUAAUCGCCGAGCAAACUCUUUCUGAAGCAGAAGUGUGAGACUUCGAAAAGGGUUAGCUCCAUACACCAGUUUAGUCACAAGAGGGGAUGAUAUUCCACACGGAAUGUUUGCCACAACGAGAUCAAACUGCGGAAACUUGGCCUUUAAUGCAUCCCCGCACAAAAUAUCAAGCUUUUCAUGAAGGCCAUGCUCAGAAACCCGUUUACAAAGAAUCUCCACCAUUCGCUUGUCAAUUUCAACAGCAACAACCUUCUUGGCGACCUCGAGAAGCCUGAUAGUAAGAUUACCCGUGCCCGGUCCGAUCUCUAGGACAGUGUCAGUGGACUUUAUUUGAGAUAUACGAACAAUUGUAUCCAGAACUCGUGGGUUAGUAAGGAGAUGUUGGCCUUUGCUUUUGUACAGAUACAAAUUCCCUUCCAUAUCGUUCUCCGCAUUUCUAAUUUUCUUGCCAUCUUCACUGUUCCUUCUACGAGCACGAGGAUGAACGGUUGUUGUUGGAAGUUCUCGAAGAGAAUUUAGGUGCAAAAUGGAUUGAAUAAGGUAGAAUUGAAUUGAUUUUGGAAUGGAAAGUAGUUGAUUUUUCAACGGGACAUUCAUCGAAAAUGCAAAACUUUUCCAACGCAACUGGCAAUAAAGUAAAGCAAGGACACGAAACUCGCAAGACCAGUCUGAGAACACAGAAGUGAGAAGGCGAUACAGUAUUAGCACGAAUUGAACCGGGUUUUUCAGGACUACGUCGUUUUAUGCAAACUAAAAUACCAAUUUUUUGGGUUCCCCAAUUUCCCAUCCUAAAUUCUAAUUCUCACUUCCCUGCUUUCCCAGUCCCAUGCUUCAGCUCGAAGAAGUUCCGACGACUGCGACGGUCGGACAUUGAAGCUUCAGUCUCUGUCCUCAACCACAGUUGCUUCUGAUACCUCACUCACUGAUUAAAACUGAAAGCGAUAGAGAACAAGCAAAAGGGGCAGAGAGAAUUUCGUGGUGUGCUUUGGAACCCUUCGUUGGCCAUCGAAGUUCUCGCUACGCUUUAUUCAUCGGCAGCCUCAUCUGGCGCUCUUCCUCUUCAAAUCGAUAUUUUCCUCCUUUCUUCUAUUCAUUAAGCACUGUCAUCACCUCUACUGGUAACUAUUUCUUGCUUUUUAUUUGUUUGGGUUUUGAAUUAUACAAUUUAGAAAUUGACCCAUAAAUGAAUUGAUAAGAUGAAAUGUGAUUCUCUUAGGCUUCUACCCCACCCACCAAGAGGGGGAAAAAAAAUUGCACAUUAAGCUCCGAACCUAAAUGAACCGGGUUCAACGUAUCCGGUUCAGCCUACCCUAAUCCUCCCCCUAAUCACGCUGCCUGGCUCUGUAAUUAAAACUCUAAUAAUAAUUUAUCAAAAACUGGGUACAACUGCAGGAGCCAAAUCGGGUUCUGCCUGACCCAACAACCCCUUUUUCUGCCGCAUCUCCAGCACUUUCCGGUGGUGGUUAGAGUGCAGCUCGCCAGAGAAAGUCGGGCUACAAGCAGGUCUGUACUCGGGCAGAAGCCGACCCGACUUAUAUCUGACUCCACAUGCGUUGCAAAGAGUCUUGGCUCCUAGAGGACCGGUUCGCCAUUGUGGAGUCUUUUGAACACCGCAAUGGCUGCACCGCCGAGCCGCAUGAGACCCGCCGCCGACCCCACUGCGCAACUCACCGGCCGGUCUUUUCUUUUGCUUUUUAGCAGUCGGUCUUCCUAAAAAAACCGGUUCUGUCGGUUCAUGGUUCAUACCCGUGGGGGUAAAGAUGAGGUAACUGCUUGGAGGGUAAGGAGGAGAGGACGAUGAGCUAGAGCUUGAAGAUGAUUCUGUCAACGAAGGUGACCCAAGAGGCCACCCUCUCACGCAGGUUCUUGCCCGCUUGCUUCGAGCCUUGGCCGGCACAGGAGUUUUAAAACAUAGCUCUGUUAGAACUGGUUUUUGUAGUCCAGAAAGGUUGUCUUGGUUAUGCUUCUCCUGUGAAAUUCCAGCCGGGAAAGGUGCGGAGUAUUCUGAGUUGGAAUCCUCCACAAAAUGCGAUAACCAUUCAAGACUUGCCAAAUCAUCCUGCUGCAAAAAUGGCAGCUCUAGUCAACAAUUUUCCUAACAAAUUAACAAAGAAAGCCGUCAGCUUUAUUUUUGUUACAGAGAAGACAAACAUACCGGAACACCAAGUUCGCUAGCCGGAACAGACCCAAAAUAUUCUUUUGCAGAAAAAUUUGAGCUUUGCUCGCUAAUUUUAUCGUCUUCAAGGACUUCUUUAGGAGAAACGGACACAGUAUAAGCUUUUUCUUCUCCUGCUUCUUCCUCAAUGAAACCAACUUCAUUAGAGAAGUCCAAAAGCUCGUCCACGAUAGAGUCAUCAGACGACGCGCCGUUUUGCAUAUUUGGUACCCAUAAAUCGUCGAAAGACACUUGUGGGCUAAAUUUGAGGGCCAUCUCCUUCCUGAUACUGGCUUUCAAAGCAACCUCAACGCAUUCCAUUUGGGUCUGAACAGAAAACUCAGAAUUCAAGAAGGGAAAACUUGAAACAAAGUAUUAAAAGAUGAGAAAUGAAUUCCAAUUACCUGAAGAUGAGAAGAGGAAGUGGUUGCAGAGGGGAAUUGGAAGAUAAAAGGAUGGUGAGUUUGGUAAUGCAUUAAAUGAGAGACGAAAUCGUCCGUGGAUUUUAUAAGAAAGCUUCUUUCUUUCUUUUUCGUCUGUGCGGAGAAAUUUGUUUCCUUUUUAAGUAAAUUUUUUACUUCACCUUUUCUCUAUCUUCUGGAUUUUAUAUAAAAUGUACGUAUUUAUUUUAAUUUUAUACGGUUUUAAGUGUGUUGUUAACGCGUAGACAUAGU